AACGAACGCUGGCGGCAUGCCUAACACAUGCAAGUCGAACGAGACCUCCGGGUCUAGUGGCGCACGGGUGCGUAACGCGUGGGAACCUGCCCUUAGGUUCGGAAUAACUCCCCGACAGGGGUGCUAAUACCGGAUAAUGUCUUCGGACCAAAGAUUUAUCGCCUUUGGAUGGGCCCGCGUUGGUUUAGCUAGUUGGUAGGGUAAAAGCCUACCAAGGCGACGAUCCAUAGCUGGUCUGAGAGGAUGAUCAGCCACACUGGGACUGAGACACGGCCCAGACUACUACGGGGGGCAGCAGUGGGGAAUAUUGGACAAUGGGCGAAAGCCUAAUCCAGCAAUGCCGCGUGAGUGAUGAAGGCCUUAGGGUUGUAAAGCUCUUUUACCCGGGAUGAUAAUGACGGUACCGGGAGAAUAAGCUCCGGCUAACUCCGUG
rnacentral:rRNA from 1 species